CACGUAGGAUCCAAGCGUUAUCCGGAUUUACUGGGCGUAAAGCGCGUGUAGGUGGUUUGUUAAGUUGGGUGUUAAAUCUCUCGGCUCAACUGAGAGGUGUCGCUCAAAACUAGCAGACUGGAGGACGGUAGAGGAAGGUGGAAUUCCGGGUGUAGUGGUGAAAUGCGUAGAUAUCGGGAGGAACACCAGUGGCGAAGGCGACUACCUGGCCUGUUCUUGACGCUGAGGCGCGAAAGCUAGGGGAGCAAACGGG
rnacentral:rRNA from 1 species